AUGGCGGCCUUCACCAAGCUCGAGGACUCCCCCAUGUUCCGCAAGCAGGUCAAUUCUUUGGAACAAAUUACCGAUGAACUGAAACAGCGGUGUUCAAACCUUCAUAAAGGAUGCAAAAAAUUCAUGGGAUCUCUUGAUGAAGGAUACGCAGGGGAUCUUUUAUUUGCUGACGCCCUAGAAGCUUUUGGUGCUGGUCGAGAUGACCCUGUUAGUGUUGCCAUUGGAGGGCCUGUAAUGUCCAAGUUCACUACUGCUUUUAGGGAGCUUGGAACGUACAAGGAGCUCCUUCGUUCCCAGGUCGAGCAUAUGCUUAGUGAACGGUUGACGCAAUUCAUUAACGAGGAUCUGCAUGAUGCAAAGGAUUGUCGACAGCGUUUGGAUAGGGCUACAAUGGGCUAUGAUCAGGCCCGUGAAAAAUUUGUGUCAGUGCGGAAAGGGACUAGAGCAGAAGUAGUGACAGGACUUGAGGAGGAUCUACAGAACGGCAAGUCAGCUUUCGAGAGAUGCCGCUUUAACUUAGUUCAUGCCCUUGCAAACAUUGAAGCAAAGAAGAAGUAUGAGUUCUUGGAAUCAAUAAGCGCAGUGAUGGAUGCCCAUCUAAGAUAUUUUAAGCAGGGAUUUGAGCUACUGAGCCAAAUGGAACCGUUCAUUCACCAGGUUCUAACAUAUGCACAGCAAUCAAAAGAAAUGGCUAUGAACGAGCAAGAUAAACUUGCAAAGAGAAUUCAAGAGUUCAGAACUCAAGAAGAAAUUUCAAACUUGAGAAUGGCUAGUAAUGUAAACACAUCUACGAGUGGUGAUGGCAUCCAUGUUGUUGGUCUUCAAUCCUAUAAAAAGAUUGAAGCCUUGAUGCAGUCAACUGCCAAUGGCCAGGUUGAAAUAAUUAAACAAGGUUAUCUCUUUAAGCGUUCUGAAAAUUUACGAGGAGAAUGGAAGAGGAGGUAUUUUGUUCUUGACAGCCAUGGGACUCUGUACUACUAUGGGAACAAGGGAAAUAAACAAUUGCAAGGAGUGGCAUCACAGCAAACUGCUGAACCGGCUGGUGUAUUUAGUCGCUUCAGAUUCUUAAAUCAAAAAGCUUCAUCCCAGGGGGAUGAUUCUCUUUCAUGUCGUACAAUUAAUCUCAGAACUUCAACAAUUAAGAUGGAUGCUGAAGAAAAUGAUUUAAGAUUUUGCUUCAGAGUAAUCACCCCCAUGAAGGCAUACACUUUACAGGCGGAGACAGAGGCUGACCAAAAGGACUGGAUCGAAAAAAUAACAGGAGUUAUUGCAUCACUGCUGAAUUCACCAUUCCCGCAUCAGCCGCCAUACGGGAGCCUAGCAGCAGAAAGACAUGGUUCUGCAAGUUCCCUUGAUUCUGCUGCAUCUCUUGAAGAGAGCAAAACUUCAGAGGCACACAGUGAUGCAAUAAACCAUCUCAGGAAUAUCCCUGGAAACGACAGUUGUGCAGAAUGUCGUUCUCCAGAUCCUGACUGGGCAUCUCUAAACUUGGGUAUUCUUAUUUGCAUUGAGUGCUCAGGGGCUCACAGGAAUCUGGGAGUCCAUAUUUCAAAGGUUCGGUCCUUGAGAUUGGAUGUGAAAAUAUGGGAGCCAGUAAUUAUUGAUUUGUUUCGUGCACUUGGAAAUGAUUACAAUAAUUCCAUUUGGGAAGCUUUGCUUCCGAAAGAAGGUCAAGGAAUGGAUGAGUCAAAUAGCACUAUCCUGUUCAUGGAAAAGCCUAAACCUACUGAUGCUUUCUCAAUAAAGGAAAGGUUCAUACAAUCAAAGUACGUGGACAAACUUCUUAUUGCCAAAGACACCAAUCAAAUUACCAUUGGUAUACUGGAAGCUAUAAGGACAAAUGAUGUGAGAGCAGUGUAUCACAUUCUUGUGUUGGCUGAUGCAAGCCCUAACAUGACAUAUGAUGAGUUGAACAACGAUGUUAACCAUGUUCUACCGGUAACAGACAGGAAAUUAUUUGAUCCAGCCUCUUGUGAGAAAAUAGAGGAUUCUGGGAAACCAGAAGGUUGUCUGCAAGGCUGCUCCUUAUUGCACUUGGCAUGUCAACAUGGUCAUCCUGUACUAGUUGAGCUUCUGCUACUUUUGGGCGCGGAUAUUAAUAAGCAGGAUUUCCAUGGACGGACACCAUUGCACCAUUGUGUCCAAAAGAGUAAUGAUGCCCUUACCAAACAUCUACUGAAGAGGGGUGCAAGAACAACAAUUAAAGAUGGUGGGGGCCUGACUGCUUUGGAGAGAAGAAUGGAGCUUGGAGCAAUAACAGAUGAAGAAUUGUUCAUAUUAUUUGUGAGGUAUGACCGACAGUAG
rnacentral:rRNA from 1 species